UAGACAGAUUAUUGUAUUCGACUGUACUCACGAUAUGUAUUUGUGAAUACAGUAACGUAAAUAGCGCAAUUCAUGGUCUAUUCAACUGUUUUAAACGGAAAGUGAAUCAAUUAACAUAAUAGACUCAU
rfam:Nicotiana attenuata strain TT chromosome 2, whole genome shotgun sequence.